rnacentral:rRNA from 1 species
CACGUAGGGGGCGAGCGUUGUCCGGAUUUAUUGGGCGUAAAGAGCUCGUAGGCGGCUCAGUAAGUCAGGUGUGAAAACUCCAGGCUCAACCUGGAGACGCCACUUGAUACUGCUGUGGCUAGAGUCCGGUAGGGGAGCAUGGAAUUCCUGGUGUAGCGGUGAAAUGCGCAGAUAUCAGGAGGAACACCAGUGGCGAAGGCGGUGCUCUGGGCCGGAACUGACACUGAGGGACGAAAGCUAGGGGAGCGAAUGGG